rfam:Coccidioides immitis RMSCC 2394 supercont1.6 genomic scaffold, whole genome shotgun sequence.
GCAUUGGUGGUUUAGUGGUAAAAUCCGUCGUUGCCAUCGACGGGCCCCGGGUUCGAUUCCCGGCCGAUGCA